rnacentral:lncRNA from 1 species
AGUGAGUAGAGGUAUUUGGUAUUUGGUUUCGUCACACCCGAUUUUGCUCGAGUGGACAUUGGGUGAGUAUUGGGUCGAAUUUGGGGUUGAUUUUGUGGUGGUGGUGGUUGUGAAGACGACGAAGAACUGUCGGAGGAGAAGGAAUGAUGGCUUGGAUUAGUUGUGUGGGUUUGGAUUGAUGUUUGUGGGCUUAGUGUCUGGUCUGGAGAGGGUAGGUUUGUCUGGGCCGUGGGUUGCGGCCCAUUUUGAGUAUGAACAGUGGGCUCAGAAGUGGGGUUUGUCUGGGCCGUGGGUUGUGGCCCAUUAUUAUUUGGAGCAGUGGGCUCAGAGGAGGAAGAAACAGAAGGAGAUAGAGAGUUCGAAGGUUGUACCUGAUUUGAUGAUGCGAUGACGGAUCCGGUGGGGAUAGCUGACGACGACGGCAGUUGGUGAGGGGUCGACAACGGGGUUUUCGACGACGAAACGAGUAUUAGUGGAAUCGAUUGAGAAGCAGACGCUUCAGUUGGUGUCUCCGAUGGUGGAUUUGACUGUUCUGGUGAAGUAGAAAACGAGGCAAAAGGGAAGACCUUUUCAUCAAAUUGGACAUGGCGCGAGACAUAGAGACGAGCAUUGGCGACAUCAUAGCAGAAGUAAGCGCUUUGAGUUGUGGAAUAGCCAAAGAAGACACACUUGAUGGAGCGAUCUUCCAGCUUGUGUCUCGUAUAAGGUUUGAGCCAAGGGUAGCAAGCACAACCGAACGUUUUGAGCUUUAUGUAGUUUGGGGGUUUGUCAAAGAGCUUCGAGAAAGGUGACGCCAUGGAGAGAAGCGGUGUUGGCAUCCUGUUGAUAAGAUAAACCGCAACCGCAAAAGCAAAAGUCAAAUAUUUUUUGGGAACCGAGGCUUUUGAGAGAAGAGUAAGCCCUGUCUCAACUAUAUGUCUGUUCUUGCGCUCGGAGAUUCCAUUAUGCUCCGGUGUAUGUGGCGGUGAUGUGAAGUGCGAAAUGCCUUUGGACUGAAGGAACUGCCGGAGCACCAGGAACUCACUACCAUUGUCUGAGUAAAAGGUACCCAUCCUUGUAUUAAAAUGAUUUUCAAUGAGGUUUGUGAAAGCAACAACUGUGUUUUUGACAUCUGACUUCUUUUUAAGUGGAAAGAACCAAGAAUAGCGGGUGAAAUGAUCUAUAAUUACUAAGUAAUAUUUGUAUUGAUCAGAUGAUAGAAUAGGUGAUGUCCAAACAUCUGAAUAUAGGUAUUGAAAAGGUUUUGUAGAGUCUAUUGUUGACUGAGAAAAUGGAAGUUUAUGGCUCUUAUUGAUAAAGCAAUCAUUGCAAGAAAAGUUUUUCUGAGAAGGUAAAGAGAUAGGUAGCGAAUAGCUUGAAACAAUAGAAUUUAAAAUAGAGGAGGAUAGGUGACCCAAUCUUGAGUGCCAUGAUGAUAAAGUAGUCUUUGAACUAGGGUAAGUAGUCGCAGAAUUGACUUGAUGUGUUGUCAUUGGCCACUCAUAGAUCUCGUUUUUAGCCUUGCCGCAUAAUAACCGGACCCCCGUUGUCAGAUCCCUCACCUGAAAGGAUUGUGGAAAGAAUUCCACAGAUACACCAUUAUUGUUACAAAGCUUGUAUACUGAUAUGAGGUUUUUGUUUAUGUUAGGAACAAAAAGGACAUUCGGUAAAGCAAUAGAACGAGUAGGAGUGGAGAGAGAUGCAAAACCAGUUUGGUUGAUGGGGACUGUAGUGCCAUCAGCAAUCAUUACAUCAUUGCCUCCAUGGUAGGGCUGAUGAAGAAAAAGGUUGUCCAGGUCUGACGUGAUAUGGUGUGUGGCUCCACUGUCCAUCACCCACUGACUCGCAUGAGGAUGAUUGAUCGCAGUGAAGUUGGCGCGCGGAGUCCAAGGAGUGAAGGGAGUCAUUUGUUGUUGUUGUAGUCCAGCUUGAAAGGUUUGGAGUUGUGGACAUCUCUUGGCACUAUGACCUUGUGUGCCACAGAUCUGACAUCGACCAAGGUAUGGUCUUGGCCCUUUGUUGUUGUCAUAGCAAUUCUGUUGCUGAGACUGGUUCCAUUGAGUGUUGAAGCCUUGUUGUGACCCUUGGUUCCUCUGCUUGUUAUUGUUGUAGCUGCGAUGCUGAUUGUUGUUAUUGCUGCGUUGUUGAACAACAUUGACUAUAACAGGUCCAUUUGGAAGUGUCCCAUCAGCGGAAUUGAGCAGCUUGGCUUCAUGGUUGAGCAGACGCUCAUGGAGUUCCGUAAUGGAGGGAGGAACGUCUCUUCCUUCAACCUGAUCGACGACAGGUUUGUAAUCAUCGGGAAGACCCUCAAGAAUGAGAUCAAUUUGGUCUUCAUGAUCCACCGGUUUGCCAAGAAUGGCAAGUGUCAAGACUUGUGGUGAUGCCUUGAAGAUAGAAAUCAACAAUCUUGGUUUCUUUCUUCCAGUUUUUGAGUUGCGUCUUGAGCUGUUUGAUAUGGUCACGGCUUGGCUUUGCGUAUGUGGAAGCAAGAGUGAGCCAGGCUUCAAGGGAGGUGGACGCACGGGAGACUAGCGGUUGAAGAGACGGCGAGAUGGCUCCAAUGAGGGCACUGUAGAUCAGCUUGUCUUGGCGUUUCCAAAUGGUGAAGUCUGGAUUGGCCGUGAUCUGAUCAUCAACAAUGAGGGUGGGUGGGGGAACAGGAGUGGAUCCAUCGAUGUGACCAGCUAGGUCAUAGCCGUCAAGGAGAGCAUGGAUCUGAAGACUCCACAUGAGAUAGUUACCAGCGGUAAGUUUGGAAACAUUAGACAUGUUUACGGUAAGCAAUGUUUGAGCAUUGGUAGCGAUCGUGUCAGUGACGAAAGUGAGGUUACCAUUAGCACUCAUGUUGACAAAAGAAUGGAAAACGAAAAAUUUAGAGAAAAGUUUUUGAUCGUAUAGCUCUUGAUACUAUGUAAGAUUAAUAUGUUUCUUAUAUAUCAAGAAUGUACAGCGAAUAGCUUGAAACAAUAGAAUUUAAAAUAGAGGAGGAUAGGUGACCCAAUCUUGAGUGCCAUGAUGAUAAAGUAGUCUUUGAACUAGGGUAAGUAGUCGCAGAAUUGACUUGAUGUGUUGUCAUUGGCCACUCAUAGAUCUCGUUUUUAGCCUUGCCGCAUAAUAACCGGACCCCCGUUGUCAGAUCCCUCACCUGAAAGGAUUGUGGAAAGAAUUCCACAGAUACACCAUUAUUGUUACAAAGCUUGUAUACUGAUAUGAGGUUUUUGUUUAUGUUAGGAACAAAAAGGACAUUCGGUAAAGCAAUAGAACGAGUAGGAGUGGAGAGAGAUGCAAAACCAGUUUGGUUGAUGGGGACUGUAGUGCCAUCAGCAAUCAUUACAUCAUUGCCUCCAUGGUAGGGCUGAUGAAGAAAAAGGUUGUCCAGGUCUGACGUGAUAUGGUGUGUGGCUCCACUGUCCAUCACCCACUGACUCGCAUGAGGAUGAUUGAUCGCAGUGAAGUUGGCGCGCGGAGUCCAAGGAGUGAAGGGAGUCAUUUGUUGUUGUUGUAGUCCAGCUUGAAAGGUUUGGAGUUGUGGACAUCUCUUGGCACUAUGACCUUGUGUGCCACAGAUCUGACAUCGACCAAGGUAUGGUCUUGGCCCUUUGUUGUUGUCAUAGCAAUUCUGUUGCUGAGACUGGUUCCAUUGAGUGUUGAAGCCUUGUUGUGACCCUUGGUUCCUCUGCUUGUUAUUGUUGUAGCUGCGAUGCUGAUUGUUGUUAUUGCUGCGUUGUUGAACAACAUUGACUAUAACAGGUCCAUUUGGAAGUGUCCCAUCAGCGGAAUUGAGCAGCUUGGCUUCAUGGUUGAGCAGACGCUCAUGGAGUUCCGUAAUGGAGGGAGGAACGUCUCUUCCUUCAACCUGAUCGACGACAGGUUUGUAAUCAUCGGGAAGACCCUCAAGAAUGAGAUCAAUUUGGUCUUCAUGAUCCACCGGUUUGCCAAGAAUGGCAAGUGUCAAGACUUGUGGUGAUGCCUUGAAGAUAGAAAUCAACAAUCUUGGUUUCUUUCUUCCAGUUUUUGAGUUGCGUCUUGAGCUGUUUGAUAUGGUCACGGCUUGGCUUUGCGUAUGUGGAAGCAAGAGUGAGCCAGGCUUCAAGGGAGGUGGACGCACGGGAGACUAGCGGUUGAAGAGACGGCGAGAUGGCUCCAAUGAGGGCACUGUAGAUCAGCUUGUCUUGGCGUUUCCAAAUGGUGAAGUCUGGAUUGGCCGUGAUCUGAUCAUCAACAAUGAGGGUGGGUGGGGGAACAGGAGUGGAUCCAUCGAUGUGACCAGCUAGGUCAUAGCCGUCAAGGAGAGCAUGGAUCUGAAGACUCCACAUGAGAUAGUUACCAGCGGUAAGUUUGGAAACAUUAGACAUGUUUACGGUAAGCAAUGUUUGAGCAUUGGUAGCGAUCGUGUCAGUGACGAAAGUGAGGUUACCAUUAGCACUCAUGUUGACAAAAGAAUGGAAAACGAAAAAUUUAGAGAAAAGUUUUUGAUCGUAUAGCUCUUGAUACUAUGUAAGAUUAAUAUGUUUCUUAUAUAUCAAGAAUGUACAGUAGAGAGCUUUAUAUACACGAGUCUAAGCUAGGGUAUUAGAAGUACAUUAAAUGAGAACAUAUAUUAUGUCCAUAUAUGAAGAGAUACUAGAAUCAAUCAAGUAUUAUGAUUGAUCCUUAAUAUAACAAUGGGAAUAGAUUGCAUUUGCCUCAUGACCUUGCUUUGCAGCGUUCGUUAAAGUUGGCACUUACGAACAGAUGGGGAAGGUGACCAAUGCAAUAAGCUAUAUUUGGCUCAAAUGCCUUUUCUCAAGGUGGGGAAGAGGGUGAGAGGGAGGAGCUGCGAUGCAGACGCAGUGGAUUGAGUCUCGGACUCUGCAGUUAGAAGAGCCAAAGCUUCACAUCCAAGUUGAAUUGCUGGAACUGGAGAAACAGAGAUUUAGGUGGGAGAGCCGGAGAGGUUUAGCAAGAGAAGGGAUCAAGAACUCGAGAGAUUGAGAAUGAUAGGAUGGGACUGGAGUUGAGACAAAGGGAAUUGGGUGUUUAGUUAUAACGGCAUUGGCUUCAAACUCUCUUGAUUGGUAUAUAGCUUAGGUAAAUGAAGAAUUGUUUUGUGCUCGUCUUGUAAGCAUGCUUUUAUUGUAAUGAUCUCGAGACUUUGAUAUGAGAGAUCAUUGUGGUUUCAUUCAGUAAUGAGGGUUUAGAAUGUAGUGAGAUAUAGGAUUGUUUAGUAUAUGCACCUUUCGGUCACUUUCUUCAUAUCAACCUUAAGGCUUGAAGUAAUCAACUGCUUAAGGUUAUUUUCAUCAUUCUGCUGUAUUAUCUCUGACAACUUUAUACAAUUUUCGGACUGUAACAAAUACAAAUGUUUCAUUUCUUGUUUUUAGUUGGACGUGGAUCUAGAGAACCUUAGGCAGAAGAGUUAUUACACGGAGUAUGUGAUCUCCAUUCACGCUGAUGGAAUCUUCAGACACUAAGGGUCCCUUUCACGAGGGAAAAGAAGAGAACAUCACCACUUGUGCUGAGGAAUAAAGUCACUGAUUCUUAACUUCAGGUUGCAGGUAAAUACAGCUUCAGAAAAAGAAACACUUACCAUUAAAAGAAAACACAUAACAUGUUAUGAUUAGAGGAACGUCUCUAGAGGUGCAGUAACACAACAAAGUCCAGAUUCGAAUCCCAUUAUUCAAUUAAUGUAGAAAGAAAAGAAAAGUUAUUUUGAUAGAGACUCAAGUUGACAAAUGUUUUUUUUUUAAAAAGAAUUGUCAAAUGGGUUUUUCUUUUCUAUGUUAAAAGGAAGCAAACGUAGAUGUUUGGAAAUUAUAUGGCUUGUAUUACACUGACAUGGUCUUCCCUUGAUCAACAUAAAAGUAGAAAAGUCUUGGCUGUGUAAUUGGAUGAUGGAUUAUUGUAUUAUAGAUUUGGGAAACAAAGUAAAAUAGAAAAAUAUGAAUUGGUCUGCUAAGAAGGUAAACGGAUCAUUUUUAAGAUCACUCUUCUACCUUUUCUUUUUCUUAGAAUAAGCUUCAGAGAGAACUCAAAGAGAAAACAAGUUUGGAGAGAAAGAAACAAAGAAGAUGAAGUUGCAGGAGUAUCUGUUCUUGGUGGCUAUGUUCUGCCUUUCUUGUACGCAACCCAUCAAGUGUCAAACCAAGCUAAAAUGCCCAGAAAAAUGUGGAAAUGUUACACUUGAGUUCCCUUUCGGCACAACUCCAGGUUGUUACCAUGAGGAAGAUCCCAGUUUCAACCUCACAUGUAACGAGCAAGGGCUAUUCUUUAAUGGCUUUCGAGUGGUCAAUAUUUCUCACAGCAGCCAGAUAAGCAUCACGUUUCCUCCAUCCUAUGCUUGCUACAACAAGUCUGGACAUCUUCAAAACGGCGCUGCCUACUAUAACGAUAGGCUCGGAAAUUUAACUCUCUCCGACAACAACACCCUUUUUGCAGUAGGUUGUGACACUUAUGCUUUUGUGACAACUAGUGGAACUCGGAGAAACUCAUUCGGAUGCAUAUCGGUAUGUGAUGAGGAACCACUUGUAACAAAUAGAGAAUGUAAUGGUGAAGGUUGCUGCCAAAACCCUGUCUCUGCAGGGAGCAGUUGGUACAUAGUCAGACCAUAUCGCUUUGUCAACGACACUUCUGAGCGUCCCUAUAGAAGUUCUUGCAUCUACGCCUUUGUCGUUGAAGAUGGGAAGUUUAAGUUUAAUGAUAUUGAAGAUGGAAAGUUUAAGUUAAAUGAUAAAGGAUUGGUAGAUUAUUCUUAUCUUCAGACUAGGAGGUUACCUGUGGUGUUAGAUUGGUCUAUCGGAGGACAGACAUGCAAUCAAGUUGGAAACGCGAGCUUGUGCAGUGUAAACAGUACAUGUUCUAACUCUACUGUCAGAACAGGUUACGUCUGCAAAUGUGAACCAGGUUACUAUGGGAAUCCAUAUCUGAAAGACGGUUGUACAGGUACAUUAACUUGUUCUGUUUUCUUCUUUUGGUCACUUCACUUAAGAUGCUUUUGCUUAUUAUACAGUUUCUUGUUUGCAUCUUGCCAGACAUCGAUGAGUGUACUAGUACUACCUAUGAACAUAACUGUACAGAAAACAGCAACUGUGAGAACACGAACGGAAGCUUCCUGUGUCCUUGCAAAACUGGUUACCACAAAGAUAACUCUGCUAUGAGCUGCCUUCUUACCGAGAUUAACGAGAAGCCUGACUCAGGUUCAACAGACUAUGAAUGGGCUAAGAUUUUUCUUGGUAAGCUUCCCUAACCGGUUUCUGGAUUCAUUUAUUUUCUACCAACAACUCUCUCUCUAAUCAUAUAUGUGUGAUGUGAUUAGGAACAACCAUCGGCUUCUUGUGCAUUCUGCUUGUGGUUACUUUUAUACAGCAGAGAAUGAAGCACAGGAAAAACGCCGAGCUCCGACAACACUUCUUUGAGCAAAACGGUGGCGGCAUGUUGAGACAGCGACUCUCAGGAGCAGGCCCAUCAAAUGUUGAUGUCAAGAUCUUUACUGAGGAAGGCAUGAAGGACGCAACUAGUGAUUAUGACGAUAGCAGAAUCUUGGGCCAGGGAGGCCAAGGAACAGUCUACAAAGGGAUACUGCCAGACAAUUCCAUAGUUGCUAUAAAGAAAGCUCGGCUUGGUGACAGCAGCCAAGUAGAGCAGUUCAUCAACGAAGUGCUUGUGCUUUCACAGAUCAACCAUAGGAACGUGGUCAAGCUCUUGGGCUGCUGUCUUGAGACUGAAAUUCCAUUGCUGGUCUAUGAGUUCAUUAACAGUGGCACCCUUUUCGAUCACUUGCACGGUUCCUUGUUUGAUUCUUCUCUUACAUGGGAACACCGCCUCAGGAUAGCAGUGGAGAUUGCUGGAACUCUUGCUUAUCUUCACUCCUCUGCUUCUAUUCCAAUCAUCCACCGAGAUGUCAAGACUGCUAAUAUCCUCCUUGAUGAAAACUUAACUGCAAAGGUAGCUGACUUUGGUGCUUCAAGGCUGAUACCAAUGGAUAAAGAGCAGCUCACAACUAUGGUGCAAGGAACUCUAGGCUACUUAGACCCUGAAUACUACAACACAGGGUUGUUGAACGAAAAGAGCGAUGUUUAUAGCUUCGGUGUGGUCCUCAUGGAGCUGCUCUCAGGUCAAAAGGCAUUGUGCUUUGAUAGGCCACAAACCUCAAAACAUCUUGUGAGUUACUUUGCUUCUGCCAUGAAAGAGAAAAGGUUGCAUGAGAUUAUUGACGGUCAAGUAAUGAAUGAGGAUAAUCAAAAGGCGAUACAGGAAGUUGCAAGAAUCGCUGUUGAGUGUACAAGACUGAUGGGAGAGGAAAGACCAAGGAUGAAAGAAGUAGCUGCUGAGCUUGAGGGCUUGAGAGGCACAAAAACCAAGCAUAAGUGGUCGGAACAGUAUCCUGAACCACAAGAGGCUGAGCACUUGCUCCGUGUUGAAAUCUUAUCAGCACAAGGGGAUACUAACGCCAUUGGCUAUGACAGCAUCAUGAAUGUAACAAGAUUACACAUUGAAGAUGGCCGCUGAUAUUUGUCAGUCUAGCUCUCACAUAAUCACAUGUAUAUCUUUAUUNNNNNNNNNNNNNNNNNNNNNNNNNNNNNNNNNNNNNNNNNNNNNNNNNNNNNNNNNNNNNNNNNNNNNNNNNNNNNNNNNNNNNNNNNNNNNNNNNNNNNNNNNNNNNNNNNNNNNNNNNNNNNNNNNNNNNNNNNNNNNNNNNNNNNNNNNNNNNNNNNNNNNNNNNNNNNNNNNNNNNNNNNNNNNNNNNNNNNNNNNNNNNNNNNNNNNNNNNNNNNNNNNNNNNNNNNNNNNNNNNNNNNNNNNNNNNNNNNNNNNNNNNNNNNNNNNNNNNNNNNNNNNNNNNNNNNNNNNNNNNNNNNNNNNNNNNNNNNNNNNNNNNNNNNNNNNNNNNNNNNNNNNNNNNNNNNNNNNNNNNNNNNNNNNNNNNNNNNNNNNNNNNNNNNNNNNNNNNNNNNNNNNNNNNNNNNNNNNNNNNNNNNNNNNNNNNNNNNNNNNNNNNNNNNNNNNNNNNNNNNNNNNNNNNNNNNNNNNNNNNNNNNNNNNNNNNNNNNNNNNNNNNNNNNNNNNNNNNNNNNNNNNNNNNNNNNNNNNNNNNNNNNNNNNNNNNNNNNNNNNNNNNNNNNNNNNNNNNNNNNNNNNNNNNNNNNNNNNNNNNNNNNNNNNNNNNNNNNNNNNNNNNNNNNNNNNNNNNNNNNNNNNNNNNNNNNNNNNNNNNNNNNNNNNNNNNNNNNNNNNNNNNNNNNNNNNNNNNNNNNNNNNNNNNNNNNNNNNNNNNNNNNNNNNNNNNNNNNNNNNNNNNNNNNNNNNNNNNNNNNNNNNNNNNNNNNNNNNNNNNNNNNNNNNNNNNNNNNNNNNNNNNNNNNNNNNNNNNNNNNNNNNNNNNNNNNNNNNNNNNNNNNNNNNNNNNNNNNNNNNNNNNNNNNNNNNNNNNNNNNNNNNNNNNNNNNNNNNNNNNNNNNNNNNNNNNNNNNNNNNNNNNNNNNNNNNNNNNNNNNNNNNNNNNNNNNNNNNNNNNNNNNNNNNNNNNNNNNNNNNNNNNNNNNNNNNNNNNNNNNNNNNNNNNNNNNNNNNNNNNNNNNNNNNNNNNNNNNNNNNNNNNNNNNNNNNNNNNNNNNNNNNNNNNNNNNNNNNNNNNNNNNNNNNNNNNNNNNNNNNNNNNNNNNNNNNNNNNNNNNNNNNNNNNNNNNNNNNNNNNNNNNNNNNNNNNNNNNNNNNNNNNNNNNNNNNNNNNNNNNNNNNNNNNNNNNNNNNNNNNNNNNNNNNNNNNNNNNNNNNNNNNNNNNNNNNNNNNNNNNNNNNNNNNNNNNNNNNNNNNNNNNNNNNNNNNNNNNNNNNNNNNNNNNNNNNNNNNNNNNNNNNNNNNNNNNNNNNNNNNNNNNNNNNNNNNNNNNNNNNNNNNNNNNNNNNNNNNNNNNNNNNNNNNNNNNNNNNNNNNNNNNNNNNNNAGCUGCUCUCUUACCGAGAUUAACGAGAAGCCUGACUCAGGUUCAGCAGACUAUGAAUGGGCUAAGAUUUUUCUUGGUAAGCUUCCCUAACCGGUUUCUGGAUUCAUUUAUUUUCUACCAACAACUCUCUCUCUAAUCAUAUAUGUGUGAUGUGAUUAGGAACAACCAUCGGCUUCUUGUGCAUUCUGCUUGUGGUUACUUUUAUACAGCAGAGAAUGAAGCACAGGAAAAACGCCGAGCUCCGACAACACUUCUUUGAGCAAAACGGUGGCGGCAUGUUGAGACAGCGACUCUCAGGAGCAGGCCCAUCAAAUGUUGAUGUCAAGAUCUUUACUGAGGAAGGCAUGAAGGACGCAACUAGUGAUUAUGACGAUAGCAGAAUCUUGGGCCAGGGAGGCCAAGGAACAGUCUACAAAGGGAUACUGCCAGACAAUUCCAUAGUUGCUAUAAAGAAAGCUCGGCUUGGUGACAGCAGCCAAGUAGAGCAGUUCAUCAACGAAGUGCUUGUGCUUUCACAGAUCAACCAUAGGAACGUGGUCAAGCUCUUGGGCUGCUGUCUUGAGACUGAAAUUCCAUUGCUGGUCUAUGAGUUCAUUAACAGUGGCACCCUUUUCGAUCACUUGCACGGUUCCUUGUUUGAUUCUUCUCUUACAUGGGAACACCGCCUCAGGAUAGCAGUGGAGAUUGCUGGAACUCUUGCUUAUCUUCACUCAUCUGCUUCUAUUCCAAUCAUCCACCGAGAUGUCAAGACUGCUAAUAUCCUCCUUGAUGAAAACUUAACUGCAAAGGUAGCUGACUUUGGUGCUUCAAGGCUGAUACCAAUGGAUAAAGAGCAGCUCACAACUAUGGUGCAGGGCACUCUAGGUUAUCUAGACCCAGAAUACUACAACACAGGGUUGCUAAAUGAAAAGAGCGAUGUUUAUAGCUUUGGAGUAGUCCUCAUGGAACUUCUCACAGGCCAAAAGGCAUUGUGCUUUGAUAGGCCACAGUACUCAAAACAUCUGGUGAGUUACUUUACUUCUGCCACAAAAGAGAAAAGGUUGCACGAGGUUAUUGAUGGGCAAGUGAUGAACGAGAAGAACCAGAGGGAGAUCCAGGAAGCUGCAAGAGUUGCUGUUGAGUGUACAAGGGUGACUGGAGAGGAAAGGCCAAAGAUGAAGGAAGUAGCUGCUGAGCUUGAGGGCUUGAGAGCCACUAAAACCAAACAUCAGUGGUCGGAUAACUAUCCUGAGCCAGAGGAGAAUGAGCACUUGCUCGGUUUAGGGAUCUUAUCAGCACAAGGUGAAACCAGUAGCACUGGCUAUGACAGCAUCAAGAAUGUAGCAAUAUUGGACAUUGAAGCUGGCCGCUGAUUAGGCCACAUUCCCUUGAAACUGACCAAGUUUCUUCUAUCUUCCUUUUCAUACUAAACAUUUGAAUCUUUGUGCUUGAUAGAUUCUUGAUCCUCAGGUCAUCAAUCAUUAUGUUUAUAACUCUUCAUUGGUAUUGUACACUACACUAUCAGAAUAAUACAUUUGAGCAAUGUCUUUAUGGGUAGUAAUGUUCCACUUGGUUUUUGCUUUUGUCUUAAUUGUUUCUACUCCCACAUGUUGUGAUCAUGAACCUUAUUCCUACACAUCUUCAUUCUUCACUAAAAUAAAAUAUAUAAAAACUUUAUACUUGAAGUAUAUAUUACUCUGAGGAAUAAAGGACAAUACAUUGUAGACCUAGGCGUUCGGUGUCCUGUUCGGAUUCAGUAUGUUUCGAUUAAUUUGGAUUUUUUUCGGUUUUCGGUAUGGUUCAAUUAAUUUUGUUUUUUUCGGUUUUCGGUACUAUGAUCUCAUUCGGGUUUUACUAAUUUUUGGAUUGUGUUAGGCUUGAUUUGGUUUCUUCCGAAUUCAGUUCGGUUCUUUUUGGGUUCGGUUCGAGUUGUAUCCAAAUCUGAAAGUAAAUAACUCUCAAGUCCCAUUUGAAUAUUUUUUUAUAACGGAUUUGAUCAGAUUUUUUUUCCCGGUUUGGGUUAAGGUUCGGAUUUCAAUUUGCUGUAAAAACGCCCAUGCCUAUUUUGAAGGUUGACGAAGAGGGAGUUCUAAUGGUUGACCAAAUGUCAACUAAUUAAUCUUUCUAAAUUGCCAAACUGCUUUUCAAUUCAAUAAUUAAUAUAAUCAAAUCAUUAUAUUGUCCGAAUAUUUACCUUUUCUUCUCAUUAGAAGAUUCCUUGCAACUACCAACCGUCGUAAUCUUUGAACAAUACAAAAAUAAGUCACAUUGUUAAACUGUAGCAGAUGUAGACGUUAGGAUAUAAUAUAUGGGAUAGUUUGAGGUUCUCCUUACAUUACAUUGACAUGGUCUUGUUUGUGUAGCUUUGUGGAAAAAUGUCUGCCAAAAUGAGUCAACAGAACAUCUCAAGACUUGAGGUUUAUUUCCUAUAAGAAUUAAACUUAAAAGAAAAACCUGAAAAGAGGUUCAAAGUUAGAGAGAAGAGAUCAAAGAGAGGUAGAAUAUGAAGAUUCAGAGUCUGUUCUUGAUGGCCAUUUUCUCUCUUGCUUAUACACAGCUGCUCAAUGGCCAAUCAUUGUCAGGUUGCCAAACUAGAUGUGGCAACGUCUCAAUCGACUACCCUUUUGGCACUUCUCAAGGUUGUUACUAUGACGGCGAUAAUAGUUUCAAACUCACAUGUAACGAAACAAAUAAGCUAAUCUUUGGCGGCAAUGAAGUGAUCAACAUCACUCACAGCGGCGAGCUACGCGUCCCAUAGUUGCUAUAAAGAAAGCUCGGCUUGGUGACAGCAGCCAAGUAGAGCAGUUCAUCAACGAAGUGCUUGUGCUUUCACAGAUCAACCAUAGGAACGUGGUCAAGCUCUUGGGCUGCUGUCUUGAGACUGAAAUUCCAUUGCUGGUCUAUGAGUUCAUUAACAGUGGCACCCUUUUCGAUCACUUGCACGGUUCCUUGUUUGAUUCUUCUCUUACAUGGGAACACCGCCUCAGGAUAGCAGUGGAGAUUGCUGGAACUCUUGCUUAUCUUCACUCAUCUGCUUCUAUUCCAAUCAUCCACCGAGAUGUCAAGACUGCUAAUAUCCUCCUUGAUGAAAACUUAACUGCAAAGGUAGCUGACUUUGGUGCUUCAAGGCUGAUACCAAUGGAUAAAGAGCAGCUCACAACUAUGGUGCAGGGCACUCUAGGUUAUCUAGACCCAGAAUACUACAACACAGGGUUGCUAAAUGAAAAGAGCGAUGUUUAUAGCUUUGGAGUAGUCCUCAUGGAACUUCUCACAGGCCAAAAGGCAUUGUGCUUUGAUAGGCCACAGUACUCAAAACAUCUGGUGAGUUACUUUACUUCUGCCACAAAAGAGAAAAGGUUGCACGAGGUUAUUGAUGGGCAAGUGAUGAACGAGAAGAACCAGAGGGAGAUCCAGGAAGCUGCAAGAGUUGCUGUUGAGUGUACAAGGGUGACUGGAGAGGAAAGGCCAAAGAUGAAGGAAGUAGCUGCUGAGCUUGAGGGCUUGAGAGCCACUAAAACCAAACAUCAGUGGUCGGAUAACUAUCCUGAGCCAGAGGAGAAUGAGCACUUGCUCGGUUUAGGGAUCUUAUCAGCACAAGGUGAAACCAGUAGCACUGGCUAUGACAGCAUCAAGAAUGUAGCAAUAUUGGACAUUGAAGCUGGCCGCUGAUUAGGCCACAUUCCCUUGAAACUGAUCAAGUUUCUUCUAUCUUCCUUUUCAUACUAAACAUUUGAAUCUUUGUGCUUGAUAGAUUCUUGAUCCUCAGGUCAUCAAUCAUUAUGUUUAUAACUCUUCAUUGGUAUUGUACACUACACUAUCAGAAUAAUACAUUUGAGCAAUGUCUUUAUGGGUAGUAAUGUUCCACUUGGUUUUUGCUUUUGUCUUAAUUGUUUCUACUCCCACAUGUUGUGAUCAUGAACCUUAUUCCUACACAUCUUCAUUCUUCACUAAAAUAAAAUAUAUAAAAACUUUAUACUUGAAGUAUAUAUUACUCUGAGGAAUAAAGGACAAUACAUUGUAGACCUAGGCGUUCGGUGUCCUGUUCGGAUUCAGUAUGUUUCGAUUAAUUUGGAUUUUUUUCGGUUUUCGGUAUGGUUCAAUUAAUUUUGUUUUUUUCGGUUUUCGGUACUAUGAUCUCAUUCGGGUUUUACUAAUUUUUGGAUUGUGUUAGGCUUGAUUUGGUUUCUUCCGAAUUCAGUUCGGUUCUUUUUGGGUUCGGUUCGAGUUGUAUCCAAAUCUGAAAGUAAAUAACUCUCAAGUCCCAUUUGAAUAUUUUUUUAUAACGGAUUUGAUCAGAUUUUUUUUCCCGGUUUGGGUUAAGGUUCGGAUUUCAAUUUGCUGUAAAAACGCCCAUGCCUAUUUUGAAGGUUGACGAAGAGGGAGUUCUAAUGGUUGACCAAAUGUCAACUAAUUAAUCUUUCUAAAUUGCCAAACUGCUUUUCAAUUCAAUAAUUAAUAUAAUCAAAUCAUUAUAUUGUCCGAAUAUUUACCUUUUCUUCUCAUUAGAAGAUUCCUUGCAACUACCAACCGUCGUAAUCUUUGAACAAUACAAAAAUAAGUCACAUUGUUAAACUGUAGCAGAUGUAGACGUUAGGAUAUAAUAUAUGGGAUAGUUUGAGGUUCUCCUUACAUUACAUUGACAUGGUCUUGUUUGUGUAGCUUUGUGGAAAAAUGUCUGCCAAAAUGAGUCAACAGAACAUCUCAAGACUUGAGGUUUAUUUCCUAUAAGAAUUAAACUUAAAAGAAAAACCUGAAAAGAGGUUCAAAGUUAGAGAGAAGAGAUCAAAGAGAGGUAGAAUAUGAAGAUUCAGAGUCUGUUCUUGAUGGCCAUUUUCUCUCUUGCUUAUACACAGCUGCUCAAUGGCCAAUCAUUGUCAGGUUGCCAAACUAGAUGUGGCAACGUCUCAAUCGACUACCCUUUUGGCACUUCUCAAGGUUGUUACUAUGACGGCGAUAAUAGUUUCAAACUCACAUGUAACGAAACAAAUAAGCUAAUCUUUGGCGGCAAUGAAGUGAUCAACAUCACUCACAGCGGCGAGCUACGCGUCCUGGUUACUAGAUCCUAUGUUUGUUACAACAGCCAAGGGAACCAGACUGGCCGUAGUAACCGGUGGACAAGGCUUGGUAACUUAACAUUCUCCGACAAGAACAGAUUCACUGCAGUAGGAUGUAACACUUACGCGUUUCUCAACACUAAUUUCAGACUCACCUGUAAUGAAACAACAAAUAAGCUGUCCGCUGGCUCCAUGCAAGUGAUCAACUAUUCUCAUAGCGGCGAGCUACGCGUCCUCAAGUCUAGAUCUCUCGCUUGUUACAACAGCACACAAUUGACUCGGCAAGUUGUCUACACCACAUCUCUAGCUAAUCUUACUCUUUCUAACAAGAACAGGUUCACUGCCGUGGGUUGUAACACUUAUGCGGUCAUGACCACGGUUAUUGGAGAUCGAAACUACUCAACUGGAUGCUUGUCUUUAUGCGACUCUACACCAAAAGAAAGUGGAAUUUGUUCUGGUGAAGGCUGCUGCCACACCUCCGUCCCUAAGAGAAGCAGUCGUUUCAUUAUCAGAUCACGUCGCUUUGACAACAAGACGUCUGUUAAUGAGUUUAAUCCUUGCUUCUUUGCCUUUCUAGUCGAAGAUGGUAUGUAUAGCUUCUCUUCUCCACAAGAUCUUUUGAAUCUGAGGAAUGUCACGGACUUCCCUAUAGUACUAGAUUGGUCCAUUGGAGAACAGACAUGCCAGCAAGUUGGAGACAGUAAAAUAUGCGGUCUGAACACUGAAUGUUCAGACUCUAUUACUAGAGCCGGGUAUAACUGCAAAUGUAAAACCGGUUACAUUGGGAAUCCAUACCUUCCAGAAGGCUGCCAAGGUAACUUGAUAUUAUUUUUUUGUUUUUUUAAGUUAAUUGUUUUCCUCAAACAUUUCUUGUUGCAUAUCCAUAAACAUAAUUGUUUAGAUUCCAGCACCUGUGAGAACACUAUGGGACACUUCCUUGUAAUUGCCCGUCUGGUUUCAACUUGAAUGUCACCACCAAUAGCUGCAUGCGUAAAGUCAGGCCUGAAUAUUAUGUAUGGACUCAGAUUUUUCUUGGUAAGCUCCCCUCACUUUUUUUUUUGUAUUUUUGAUUUUCUGAAAAAAAUAAUUACUCUCUAAUCAUAUAUGUGUGAUGUGAUCAGGAACAACCAUCGGCUUCUUGGUCAUCUUACUUGUGGUUAGCUGUGUACAAAAGAAAAUGAAGCACAUGAAAAACACCGAGCUCCGAAAGCACUUCUUUGAGCAAAACGGUGGCGGCAUGUUGAGACAGCGACUCUCAGGAGCAGGCCCAUCAAAUAUUGAUGUCAAAAUCUUUACUGAGGAAGGCAUGAAGGAAGCAACUAAUGGUUAUGAUGAAAGUAGAAUCCUCGGUCAGGGAGGCCAAGGAACAGUCUACAAAGGUAUUUUACCGGACAACUCGGUAGUUGCUAUCAAGAAAGCUAGGCUUGGAGACAGCAGCCAAGUAGAGCAGUUCAUCAACGAAGUACUUGUGCUUUCCCAAAUCAACCAUAGGAAUGUGGUCAAGCUCUUGGGAUGUUGUCUAGAGACUGAAGUUCCCUUGCUGGUCUAUGAGUUCAUUAACAGUGGUACACUUUUUGAUCACUUGCACGGUUCCUUGUUUGAUUCUUCUCUUACAUGGGAACACCGUCUGAGGAUAGCAGUGGAAAUUGCUGGAACUCUUGCUUAUCUUCACUCAUCUGCUUCUAUUCCAAUCAUCCACCGAGAUGUCAAGACUGCUAAUAUCCUCCUUGAUGAAAACUUAACUGCAAAGGUAGCUGACUUUGGUGCUUCAAGAUUAAUACCGAUGGAUAAAGAGCAGCUCACAACUAUGGUGCAAGGAACUCUAGGCUACUUAGACCCUGAAUACUACAACACAGGGUUGUUGAACGAAAAGAGCGAUGUUUAUAGCUUCGGUGUGGUCCUCAUGGAGCUGCUCUCAGGUCAAAAGGCAUUGUGCUUUGAUAGGCCACAAACCUCAAAACAUCUUGUGAGUUACUUUGCUUCUGCCAUGAAAGAGAAAAGGUUGCAUGAGAUUAUUGACGGUCAAGUAAUGAAUGAGGAUAAUCAAAAGGCGAUACAGGAAGUUGCAAGAAUCGCUGUUGAGUGUACAAGACUGAUGGGAGAGGAAAGACCAAGGAUGAAAGAAGUAGCUGCUGAGCUUGAGGGCUUGAGAGGCACAAAAACCAAGCAUAAGUGGUCGGAACAGUAUCCUGAACCACAAGAGGCUGAGCACUUGCUCCGUGUUGAAAUCUUAUCAGCACAAGGGGAUACUAACGCCAUUGGCUAUGACAGCAUCAUGAAUGUAACAAGAUUACACAUUGAAGAUGGCCGCUGAUAUUUGUCAGUCUAGCUCUCACAUAAUCACAUGUAUAUCUUUUGUUUGCGAAUAAAAAAACCAUUUGUUCAUUGCUUCUCUCCUCUUUUUAUACUCCUAAACAUUAUAAAAACCAGAGUAUUAUAAAUACAACAUUCAAAAACAUUUAUAGUAACAUUUUUUCGAUUAAAAAAAAUAGUUGAUUUUUAUGACGGAAAACAUUUAAUAUAAUCCCUAAUUUGGAUGCUAACCGGUAUCCUUCUAUGCUUAAAGGCCCUUUAAUGCUUAAACGGGCCUUCAGUAUCCCCUCUUGAACCCAAAUUUUCAGGAAUCAUUUUUAUAUCAUCCCGUUAAGUUGAUAACUUUCACCUUAAGUACAAACCUGAUUCUUCUUUGUUGCUUGGUUGGAUGUGUCUAAGAGAGAAGAAAAUACAUAUAAUUUUAUACAAUGAUAUGAGGUACAUACAUCAAGCAGAGUUUACUAACAACAAUGCAUAAUUAUAUAUCUAAUACGAAAAUUAGGUAUAACCAAAUAAGUGAUCCGAGAUAUAUCGUACAAGACCUUCUAAGGAUAUGUUCUAAAAUCAAACCAUGUCCACAAAUUGCGAAAACAAAGCCAAACUUAAAAAAAUAGGCUGUUGCAUUAGAGGAGAUAAGUGUCAGAGCAUCAUUGAUGGGAGUUUUUAGGGUGGAGUUCUUAACGGAAUAUAAGAAUCCGUCUCUUAACUUUUAACUAAAAAAACUAAGAACCGAUUCUUAAUUUUUUUAGUUAAAAAUUAAGAGACGGGUUCUUAUAUUCCGCUAAGAACCCUACCCUAAGAACCUCCAAUAAUCGUGCUCUUAAGCCGUUUGAGAAGCAAAUAUUGCAAAAGUUCUGAAAAUAUCUAAACUAACUGCGAAACUAUAUUUUAAUGUCAAAUAUUCUAACCGUGCCAAAGGGGUUGAAAAUCAAACAGUAAAAAUAACAUAAAAGAUUUAUCUGACCCUUUCUUCUUCAUCGUCGGACAUUUUAUCCGUUAAAUUUGAUUUGAUUCGUUAUUCGUUUCGAUUCGAUCCGAAAAACUUGGAUAUCUAUAAACUUACGAAGCAAAGUAAGUACAAAAAUCAAUAUCCGUUAAAAUCGAAGCAAAUCACAAAUACUAAAAUUUCGAGAAGCGGAUAUCUGAUCUAAUCCGUCCGAUAUAUAACUACAUGUAUAUUUUGAUUAUAUGUAGAGUUUUAAAUGUAUAAAUUUCUAUAAUUAUCACUCUAACAUAUGAUUUUAGAAAUUAUAUUCACAUUUUUACUUAUAAAAAUUAUUAUAUCAAAAAGAGAAAUUUUUAGUGACAAUUAUAAUUUUGUUUUUAACUUUUGUCUUAUUAUUAUUGUUAACAAAGUUUAAAAUUUACAAAACAUGUAGUUUCAUUACUUCUUUUAAUUUUUAUUUUAUAUAUCCUGCAAAAAUAUUUGAAAAACAAAUUUGUAUCUGAUUUUAUAAAUUAUUUGUAUUAAUCAAAACAUACCUUAAGUAUUCGUAAAUAUCCGCAAAUAUCUAUAUAUUUUCCGGAUAUCCGUAUUUUUCCGAAGCAAAACAAAUAAAAAAAUUAGAUAUCCGUAACUUACAAAGAAAAUCACAAAUACCAAAAAUUCGGCUAAUAUUCGAUCCGUGCCCACCCCUAUUUGCGCUUCUACCUCCAAUAUACAGUAAUUAUUUACGAGAAACAGUGUCUGUUUCAUAAAGGUAAUAAAAGUAACGUAGAAAUUGUACUAAUAUAGUGGAGUAUGGCUGCAUGCAUGAGAAAUUGAAGCAAUACAAACUUAUUAUUUGUGGUCUUUUUAUUAAUACAAACUUGCACAUGAAAGAAAUCAAAAAGAAACAAGACGUAAACCUUUUUUUUGUUCAAAAAACAUGACGUAAACCUUACAAACAUUUUACAUGACUACAAACUGCGUGCAUGAAGGACCAUUAUUUGAUCAACACACACAUGUUUCAAAUUUAUUGCAAACAGAAAGUAAAAAUAAGUUGGAGAUGCUGAGAAAGCUUUAUGUUUGGAUUCUCUCUUUCACUCUAUGUUUCUCUUAUUAUGGAUUCCGUUGUUGACUUUUGUCUUCUUGUUCACAUCGUGUUCUCCUGCAAAAGUAUAUACUAUACGAUAUAAACAUUCUCAUGAUGUGAUCAUGAGCAUUAUUCCUACACAUCUUCAUUCUUCACCAAAAGAAAAACUUCAUACCUUAAGAAUAUAUAAUUUUGAGAAGGAAGAAAGGACAGUACAUUUUGAAGGUUGACGAAAGAGGCAGUUCAAAGGGUUGUCCUAAUGUCCACUACUCCCACAUGACAGUGACUGAAGUUGAAGAGGGAGUUCAAAUUUCUGUUUUUUAAUUGUCAAAUAGGUUUGUGUUCUAGAAUCUUUAAAGCAUACUUAUGAAAUUUUACCAUUUCAGUUUCUUGGCAGUUGAAUAUUCCUUGAAACAACCAACCGUCGUAAACUUUGAAUAUUACAAGAAAAGAGGUAUUAUUAAGCAGAAGCCAAUGUAGACGUGUGAUAUAUUAUAUGGGAAUAUGGAUCUACUUGGAAGGGCUCCUUGCAUUACGUUGACUAGGCCUGAACAUUUUAACAUGGACCCGAAACACGAACCGGAACCGACAUGAAAAUAUUCGAUCCGGAACCGAACCAAAAAUUUACAAAUACUUUUUGGGUCUAAAUUUUUUUACCCGAAAGGAACCAACCCGAAUAGACCCGGACCCAAAAAGAACCGACCCGAAUAGACCCAACCCAAUAAGAAUCGAUUUGUACCCGACUUAAAAACAUGUAUAUCCAAAACUAUGAUUUUUUAUGUUCUAUUUUAUAUAUAUUAUUUUAUGAUUUAGUUGAAAUAUCUUUUGUUAACAAUAUUUGUUAUUUUUUUUGUAACAAUCUUUAAGUAAUAUGAAGUUUUAAAAUGUAAAAUUAGAAUUUAAAAAUGUUUUAUUUUAAUUAUUAAUAGUUUCAUUUAAGUUAUUUUGUAAAAUUUUAGAUAUAUAUGACAAAUAUCGACUAAAUUUGAUGGAUUUGGGUAUGUUAUGUCCUUUUAGAAUCCUAAAUACCCGAAUCCGAUCCGGACCCGAUAUGGACCCGAAAAAUUAUGGGUAUUUUAGUUAUAGAUCCAAACCGACUCAGACCCGAGAAGAACCGACCUGAACAUUAACCGAAAAUUCUAAGUACCUAUUGGGUUUAAAUGUUUAGGACCCGAUAGAUCCGGAUCCAAAAAGAACCGGUCCGAAUCCGAUCCGAAGACCCGAACGCCAAGGGCUAACAUUGACAUAGUCUUGCCUGUGUAGCUGGAUUAUAGUAUUAAUGUGGAUUUUUUUUUAAACAUAUAGUAAUGUGUAAAAUUGAGCGUGGGUCUGCAAUAAUGAAUGAAGAGUACAUCCCAAGCCUGAGGUUCGUUUUCUUAUUUAAGAUGGUCAUUAUACUUCAGUUCUACAGAAGAUUUUUCGAAUCUGCAGAUCGUCAGCAAGUUCCCUACAUAUGUGUUGAGAACAGCAAAUGUUUUGAUACAGAAGAAGGCUAAAAGUAUAGUUAACAUAGUCAUUUCAUUUAUUAGCUCUAAUUCCAGUGCCUCGAUAUAAAAGAAAACAACUUCUAAGCUUUUGAAGAAAUACAUCCUCCGUUGGUCAACUUUUGUGUAUGAAGUUGUUUCUUUGCUAUUCGAACUCCAAAUCUAGGUAUAGAAACUUUUAAACUUUAACCAUGUUUUUACAAGCCUCUUGCCUCUGCAUCUUCACUUAUAAUAAUGAAAAGCAAAUCUCUAAAAUAUCACUUUUAGAGGCUUGUGGAAACACACUAGCCUAAUAUAAUAAAUGAAAAUUUUCACUUAUCAUAAAAAACAAAUAUGAAAAAAUCUCAAAAUAGCACUUAUUUUAUAAGAAAACGUACUAUAUUAUUCUUACUACUACAUCAUCUCAUAUAUCUUUUAAAUACUAAAUCCUAAUUUCAUUUAAACCCUAAACCCUAAUCACUAUAAAAUAAAAUAUUGUAUUAAAAAUCUUCUUAUUUGUUAAUAGAUACUAUUUUGAGUAUUUUUCUCUUUGUGUGCUUUAAAACCAUUUCUCUAUAAUUAAGGCAUACAUACAAAGACUUCUUACAAUUUCUUCACGUUUGGACAUUCCUUGCAAUUACCAACCGUUAUAUCUAUAUAUCUAUUCUAUUAAAAUAGCAGUGUGACCCAUUGAUAAAAGUAUGGUCCAACUAUUAUUUCUUUUAUCCUUAUCAUUAUUUAGAAUAUUAUUUAUUAUGUUUUAUGCCAUUAGACCUAUAUUUAAAUUACCAAUUGAAAAGACCUAAAAAGAUGUAAAACAAAAAAUAUACCCGUCAGAAUCUAGUCUAUACUAUUAAAAAGAAAGAAGUCCUAAAAAAUCUACUUAUAAAAGGUUGUUGGACCCUUUCAUUAACUAACAAUAUUUUUGGUCUUACCAUAAUAUUUGAUUAACAAUAAAUCACCUAAAAUAUUUCUAACAAUAAUUUAUCACACCACGUCUUUUUUGUACAUGACAAAGUUAUAUGACAUACCAUAUCAUUUGCUACACAAAAAUGAUAUACGACAUAUAGAUCCAUACAUGUCUCAUUUCACUCAAUAUAAAUAAACUUUCAUCCGAUAUAAAUAAACUAUAUCAAUAGUUAAUCCAGUUAAUCCAGCAACUAUGUAACAUUACACUACAUAUUUUCUAUACUUUUGUCUUAUAUUAUGAAAAAUCUCAUUCACUGUCUCAUGUUAAUAUUCAAUAUAUACUAUUAAAUUUACCAAAAUCCACCAAGUAAAUCAUAAGUCUCACGAGUUCAACAAAUAUAACUCUUAUAAAAUGCACACAAAAUAUAAUAUGAGAGAGUAGGUUUGGGCAUCGGCUCUUCUGGUCGGGUAUGGAUUGGUUCCUUUCGGGUUUAGGUUUUCGGAUCCUAAACAUUUGGACAUAACUAGGUAUUUAAAAAAAAGUUGGUUCGGAUUUGGAUCGAUUCCUUUGGAGUCUGGAUCCAUAAUUUAAAUACCUAUAACUUUUGGGUAUGUAACGGGUCCGAAUUGGUUUGAGAUUUUUACAACUCGAAAAACACUUGAAGUACCCAAAAAUCAAAAAUAUUAAAAACACAAAAAAAAUACACGAAAAGACAAACAAAUACCUGAAAAAAAUAUUUGAAUUCCAAAAAAAAAAUUUACAUAAAUCUGACCUAAAGAAUGGACGAUACCUAAAAACAUUUUCUAAUACCCAAAAUAUUUAUAAAAAAUUAAAAUAUUAUGUGAAACUCGAAACUAUAAUUGAAAACUUGGAUCCGAAACUUAAGAAACUAUUCAUAAUACUGAAAACAUAUUCGAAAUAGCAAAUACAAAUCCGAAAUACCCAAAUAUAGCUAAUAUACACAAACCAUGUACUUUGGAUACACAAUUGGGUCUCGGAUAGAACCCAUAAUCAAACAGAGACCGUGGUUAAAGAAAUAAUAAAAUAUAUACUUUGCCCUGAACCCGGACCCAAACCACAACUGUAUUGCCGGGUUGGUUUUGGUUAGUUUUUCGGAUCUGAUAAAAUGUCCAGGCUUAAUAAAAAAUUUAUAUAAAAGUGUACAUACAAGAUCUUAUAUAAACUAAUUUAUAAAUUAUAUCAUUUUAAAUAAAUGUUCAUCUUCGAUAUAAUGACUUUGUAACAUAAUAAUGUACACCAAUUCCAAAAUACUAAUUCAAAAACUUUGUUUACAAUCCAAAGAAAAAUCCGCGCUUUCUAAGCGCGGAGCGCGGAUCAAAAUCUAGUAUAUUAUUAAAAUUGAAGUACAUUUUGGUAAUGUUUGGAAACAUGAAUAGUAUAAUAAAUGAAAAUUGUUUGGAAACAUGGAUAGCAUAUUAAGUAUUUUCUUUUAUUUACACAUCAUUGCAUUUACAAUAAAUUAAGUGUUUUUUUAAUAUUUUUUUUAUUUACAGAUUCUACCACUACAUUCAAAAUCAAUUAAAAUUAAUUAAUUACAAUAAUUGUUGUUUCUUUGUGGUGAAGUUAAAAACACAAACUAAAAUAUAUAGUAUAUAUUAUAUUAAACAACUUUUAAGUACAAUAUUACCUUAUUUAGUUUAGUCAAAUAUAAAAAUUUAGAGAGUUCAAUUAUCAAGAAAACAAAAUAUCAUAAAAUUAAUAAUAAUUCAUAGAAAACUAAUGCAAACAAUUAAUUUUUUAGUAUGUUGUUUCAUUUUAAAAUAAAUUAACAAAAAAAAACAACAGAUUAAUAUAUGAAUAGUAUAAUCACAUCAAACUGCAUCAAUUUAUAAAAUUUUAAUAUAGUAUUCUGUACAAAAUAUAAAAAAAAAAUAUUAUUAUAAAAUUAUAUUAUAAAAUAAUAUAUUCUACUCUAUAUGUAAAUUACAAAACAUAAAAAAUAUAUAUGGAUUUUUUUUUUAAUAAAACCAACGAUUUAUGAGUUUAUGUUGAAGACAAAUUAAAUCAAACACCCGCACGGGGAUGCGGAUCAAGUUCUAGUAUCUAUACUAUUAAAGCAGAAUCAUAUUGUUCUUUUUACCUUAACCUGCCAUUUUUUUUACUAGUAUUGCAUGUUUCAUUAAGGGCAAUCAAGUAAUACUAAUAACACAUAUAUAUUGGGUCAUUUUUUUGGAUCCAACCCACAUCAGAUCUCUCUUAGGCCAUUUGGACCGAUUAAGAAAUCAAAUCCAAUUCUCAUUUUUUUUUGGGCCAUUGAGUCCAAGUCCAAAUAAUUUUUUUCAACUAUUCUUAAUUAUUAUUUUUUUUCUUUUCUUAAUAUAAUUUUAGCAUUCAUAAAAAAUUUGAUUUUUUUCAUUGAAAAGAUAAAUUUUUGUUAAAAGUAUAUAAUUUUUUUUAUUAAAAUAUUAACCACAUAAUAAAAUUAAUUUAUUAGAGUUAUACCAACUUAAUUCAUUAAAGAAAUAAAAUUUAAUUUUUUUAACAUAAAUAGUCAUUUAAAAUAAAAUACGAUAAAUAAAGAUAAAAAGUUUAAGUCUUUUAUAAAAUAAAACACAAAUAUAUGAAAAUAUGACAUUUACUAAAUAUUUGUCAAUUGAAAAAGAUAAAUAAACAUGCGCUUUGAAAGUGCGGAUCAAGAUUUAAUAUACUAUUAAAACAUAAUGCCUUUUUUUGAAGUGCCCUUGUUUCAACAAUAUUUACGAGACUUUGCCAGCGGAAUGUUUUUUUUUUUUUUUUCCGUCAAGGUUUUUUCUUUAAUAUUGCAUAACGAAGAAACAAAAGCCCGAACCCAACAGAACUGGAUCCGGGCCCAGCAAUAUUUUACAAACCAAAGCCCACAAACAAUCGGACAUCCAUUCAAACAGAAAACGGGCCUGCAGCCCACAACACUCAACUCGAAAUCGGCGGCCCAGACUUCCCCUUUUGGCCGACUCGUCAAGGAGCCGGGACGCGUGUUGAAAUCUCAUCAUCAGCACGCCACGCGUCAACCGAUGCCUCAGCCUGACCGUCACCUACGCGAGAAACCGCCUGAGCACCGCCACCGACACCCUCGUUACGCCGGAGCUUGAAACCGGUGAGCCUCCAACGUAACCACUUUUCUUCAGCUUUCAGAACUCUCUGCGGAGAGCAUCCUCGAUCUCAUCGAGAUCUCAUCCGUCUUACGAGAGCCGCGACCCACAACAACACAUACAUCACACGCUAUACCCGACCACCACUUCUCACCACUAGAGCCGGCGACGCAAGGCUGUGUAAGCCUUCACCCCCCGGAGACAAAACCGAGGAGACGUUGCUGAAGAAGCCAACCACCUCCCGGAGACUUGAGCCGACGACGACGGAGCUUUAGUAGCCUCCACCUCCCGGAGAAGAACUUCACCACGCUUCACCUCCACACGACCGCGCCUUCACUCCAAUAGCCCAGCCACCGUUGAUGACGGUUCGCUCCUCGAGCUAUCGUCUCCGGAUGAGAGUCAAUCAGAGCUCGGGCAAAGCGAAUCAGGGGGAGGAUGACGAGAGAACAACAAGGAUACAGACUGCUUUAACGGAAGGGAAAACCAAGAGGUUCCGGCGACGGCACGCGCGCCUACGCGCCGGCCGCUCACCGGAACCAGGUGCCAGCGGAAUGUUUUUAAUCUAUGCUUUUUAGUUAUUAAAUAUAUCAUCAAUAAACUUUUAAAUCCAGCUACAAUUUAUUUUAAAAUUUCCUUUCCCUUCGGCACCAAUCACGACGGCGUAGACUCUUUCUUCUUUCUCUGCUGCUUGCAUCUCCUUUGACCAGUUUCGAGGUUGGUUUUAGAUUCCCAGUUGACCAUCUCGUGCAUCUUGUACCAAGUGAAGCAAUCAUCUUUUUCUUCUUUGAAUCUUCCCCUGAAGCAAAUGUGCUCGUGACCAUAGACAGCAUAAAUGUUGAUGGGCUUUUGACUUGUCGGUUUUGAAUUCAGUUCUUUUAAUCAGUAGGCUGCCAAAAUGAUUGAUUUUUGUCUUGAUUUUAGAGUAAUGGGAGGAAAUUAGGCGAAGUGUAUUCUUUAGUUGUCCGCAGGUAUUUGUGAAAAUCUACGGUGGAAUUGUAAAAGUAUUGCAUGGCAUAUUUUGAUCUAUUGAGCCUGUGUUGUUCUUGAGUCUGUUGUGUUAACAUCUUUGGAUGUGACGUUACAUUCUGUUUCAAAAGGUAAGUUCCUAACUUUGGAAGCAUUAUACAUCAUUACCAUGGCCUUGGUUGAUCAUAUUACUAGAUUUUUAUAUUAUUAGAUUUUCAUUAACUGAAUUCUUAACUCAAUUCAGGGAUAGCUUUUUUUGUGCAACCAAUUCAUGGAUUACUUUAAGAGUAUUUGUACUCCCUAUCCACCAUGUUUCCUAUAUUUAGCUCCAUACCCUAUUUCCCUUCCUUUCCCACCCCACCCCAUCCUAACCAUUUCCCUCUCUUACCACCAUGUUUCCUAUAUUUAGCUCCAUACCCUAUUUCCCCUCCUUUCCCCCCCCGCCCCAUCAUAACCAUUUCCCUCCCUUUCUAUGGUAUUCCACUUCUUUUAGUAUAUUGAGCUAAUUUCCCCUAUUUGAUUUUCUCCUUAUAUCUUUAACAAAAUUGAUUUUGUUCUUUGCUUACAAGAUAUUCUUUUUAUGCUAACAGUGUUUAUGUAUAAUUAUCCUAAAUAAAUUGUAACAAAUUUAAGUAUUUGAAAAACAUAGUGCAUUUAAAAUAAAAAUAUCAAAAUAUAUAACUUCCUUAAUGUCAAUACAUUUCGAUAAUAAUCCUAACUAAAUUGUAAAAUAAAUAAAUAUUUUUUUAUCAUACACAAUUUUAAUUUUUAAAAUGCAUAUUUUGUGCUUUCAUUUUGAAAAUAUUUUGUGCUUCAAAAAUUGAAUAAUAGAAAUAUAUUGGAAUACAUUACUUUCUCAAAAUUAAUAUAUAGAAAAUCAAUAAUUUUAAAAUAUUUAAUGCGAGAUUUUUCAUAAAUCAACUUCCAUAUUUUGUAAGAACGAUGUUCCUAUGAAUAACUUGUGCAAUACUAAAUAUUAAUAACUCUAAUUUUUUGGUAUAGAUUAUGAUUAUUAUCUAUUAAUAUAUAUGAACCAAUAUUUUCAAAAUUGAAUUGGAUCCACAAUAUAUAGAAAAUUAACAAUUAUAAAAGAUAUUAAAUCCACAUUAUAUAUCAACUUACAUAGUAUUUACAACUUUAGUAUAGAUAAUGAAUCAAUUCAAACCCUGUAAGUAGCCCAUUUAUAAUAAAAGUUUUAAUUAAUGUCCAUUCUGUUUUGGUUUCGUUUUCACAAAUAUUUGCUAUGAACCAAGAAAAUGAAACUAAAGCCGAAUCAAUAUUCAUAAAUAUUUUAUCUUGGUAAAAGAAAAGCUGAAACCAAAUCGGAAUCAAACCGAUAAUCAACUAUCCAAAAUACAAUUUAUAUACCAAAAAAUAUUAAUUAUAUUUAGUUUUAAAAAUAUCCAAUAUUCUAAAAUACUACUUAUAACUCGAACUACCCAAAACCCGGGAUUAUCCUAUUACUUUUUUUUAUCCAAAAUACUCUAAAUUAUCGUAAUUUCUCGAUAGAGCCGAAUCAUCUAUAAUAUUUAAAUUUAUCCGAUAUUUUAUUAAAAAUCAUAAAUUCAUAAUUUUUAUUUGAAUUAUUUAAAAUUAUCCGAAAAUGGGAACUAAACCUGAAACCUCAUUGAACUCAAUAUUUUAUUCAUUUCCAAAAUUGUUAUCAGAACCGAAUCGAAAAUCUAAAUAACUAAAUCAAAACUAAACUCAAGGUACUUCAGAACCGAAUCGAAAAUCUAAAUAACUAAAUCAAAACUAAACUCAAAUUCAUAAAUAAUAAAUAACCUAACAGUUCCUAUAUCUCUUAAUCGAAAAACCACAAUCGAGCCAGAACCGAACCAAAAAAAAAAAAAAAAAAAAGAAAACGAAACCAAAAUCGAACAUACAUGCUUAAAUGUAUUAGUGACCAAACAUACGGGUAUCAACAAAGAAUAGUCCCGCGGGUCAAAAUCUACAAAUCUUUUGAAUACAAAAGUAUGGAGUCACUGUCAAACAAGCGUACUUGAACGUUUCCUUGCGUUACAUUGAAAUGGUCAUAUAUUUGCACCUCGAUUAGAAAAGUGUCUGCGGAAACGAGUCAAGAGAGAAACAUCUCAAGACUUGUUGAGGUUUCUUCUAUAAAAAAAGCACAUAUACCUCAAGGAUAUGAGAAAAGAGAGAGAGAGAGAGAGAGAGAGAGAGAGAAGAUGAACAAGGUGCACGUGCAUGGUCUGUUCUUUGUGGCAAUUUUAUCCCUUGCAUAUACUCAGCUGAUCAAUGGCAAGUCUCUUCCCGGUUGCAAAGAUAGAUGUGGCAACGUCACCAUCGAAUACCCUUUUGGACUUUCUCCAGAUUGUUGCUAUGGCGGAUACAAUAGUUUCAGACUCACCUGUAAUGAAACAACAAAUAAGCUGUCCGCUGGCUCCAUGCAAGUGAUCAACUAUUCUCAUAGCGGCGAGCUACGCGUCCUCAAGUCUAGAUCUCUCGCUUGUUACAACAGCACACAAUUGACUCGGCAAGUUGUCUACACCACAUCUCUAGCUAAUCUUACUCUUUCUAACAAGAACAGGUUCACUGCCGUGGGUUGUAACACUUAUGCGGUCAUGACCACGGUUAUUGGAGAUCGAAACUACUCAACUGGAUGCUUGUCUUUAUGCGACUCUACACCAAAAGAAAGUGGAAUUUGUUCUGGUGAAGGCUGCUGCCACACCUCCGUCCCUAAGAGAAGCAGUCGUUUCAUUAUCAGAUCACGUCGCUUUGACAACAAGACGUCUGUUAAUGAGUUUAAUCCUUGCUUCUUUGCCUUUCUAGUCGAAGAUGGUAUGUAUAGCUUCUCUUCUCCACAAGAUCUUUUGAAUCUGAGGAAUGUCACGGACUUCCCUAUAGUACUAGAUUGGUCCAUUGGAGAACAGACAUGCCAGCAAGUUGGAGACAGUAAAAUAUGCGGUCUGAACACUGAAUGUUCAGACUCUAUUACUAGAGCCGGGUAUAACUGCAAAUGUAAAACCGGUUACAUUGGGAAUCCAUACCUUCCAGAAGGCUGCCAAGGUAACUUGAUAUUAUUUUUUUGUUUUUUUAAGUUAAUUGUUUUCCUCAAACAUUUCUUGUUGCAUAUCCAUAAACAUAAUUGUUUAGAUUCCAGCACCUGUGAGAACACUAUGGGACACAUCAGCCGGCUCCUCCUCCGCUCCUCCUUCCUCGAACCCGAGCCUCUUCGGUCCACGCUCUACCGAGAAUCAGCAUCAGCCUCAAGGUGGAGGAGCGUUUGAUCCGGUGUCGUUUCUCCAGAACCAUCUCCAGCAUCUGCAAUCCAGCGGCACUCACGUCCAGUUCGUGAUCGAGGAUCAUCCCUCGGAUCCGUUUAACCGGAUACCUGGAAACAUGGGGGACUACUUCUUUGGCCCUGGCCUUGAGCAGCUGAUUCAGCAGCUCGCGGAGAAUGACCCUAACCGACGAGCUCCGAAAGCACUUCUUUGAGCAAAACGGUGGCGGCAUGUUGAGACAGCGACUCUCAGGAGCAGGCCCAUCAAAUAUUGAUGUCAAAAUCUUUACUGAGGAAGGCAUGAAGGAAGCAACUAAUGGUUAUGAUGAAAGUAGAAUCCUCGGUCAGGGAGGCCAAGGAACAGUCUACAAAGGUAUUUUACCGGACAACUCGGUAGUUGCUAUCAAGAAAGCUAGGCUUGGAGACAGCAGCCAAGUAGAGCAGUUCAUCAACGAAGUACUUGUGCUUUCCCAAAUCAACCAUAGGAAUGUGGUCAAGCUCUUGGGAUGUUGUCUAGAGACUGAAGUUCCCUUGCUGGUCUAUGAGUUCAUUAACAGUGGUACACUUUUUGAUCACUUGCACGGUUCCUUGUUUGAUUCUUCUCUUACAUGGGAACACCGUCUGAGGAUAGCAGUGGAAAUUGCUGGAACUCUUGCUUAUCUUCACUCAUCUGCUUCUAUUCCAAUCAUCCACCGAGAUGUCAAGACUGCUAAUAUCCUCCUUGAUGAAAACUUAACUGCAAAGGUAGCUGACUUUGGUGCUUCAAGAUUAAUACCGAUGGAUAAAGAGCAGCUCACAACUAUGGUGCAAGGAACUCUAGGCUACUUAGACCCUGAAUACUACAACACAGGGUUGUUGAACGAAAAGAGCGAUGUUUAUAGCUUCGGUGUGGUCCUCAUGGAGCUGCUCUCAGGUCAAAAGGCAUUGUGCUUUGAUAGGCCACAAACCUCAAAACAUCUUGUGAGUUACUUUGCUUCUGCCAUGAAAGAGAAAAGGUUGCAUGAGAUUAUUGACGGUCAAGUAAUGAAUGAGGAUAAUCAAAAGGCGAUACAGGAAGUUGCAAGAAUCGCUGUUGAGUGUACAAGACUGAUGGGAGAGGAAAGACCAAGGAUGAAAGAAGUAGCUGCUGAGCUUGAGGGCUUGAGAGGCACAAAAACCAAGCAUAAGUGGUCGGAACAGUAUCCUGAACCACAAGAGGCUGAGCACUUGCUCCGUGUUGAAAUCUUAUCAGCACAAGGGGAUACUAACGCCAUUGGCUAUGACAGCAUCAUGAAUGUAACAAGAUUACACAUUGAAGAUGGCCGCUGAUAUUUGUCAGUCUAGCUCUCACAUAAUCACAUGUAUAUCUUUAUUGGUUCUCUCCUCUUUUGUCCUCUUAAACAUUUUAAAAACCAGUGUAUCAAAUAUUACAUUCACGAACAUUUCUGCUUCGAGAGAUUCUUGUAAAUCAUCAUGUUAAUAAAACCCCUGAAUUGGGAUGCCAACUUGUAGACCGAUCUUUCUAUGCUUAAAUGGGCCUUCAGUAUGCUUAAGCGGGCCUUCAAUAUACCAUCUUGAACUCACAGUUUUAGGAAUCAUUAUUAAAUCAUCCCGGCUAAGUUGAUAAUUUUCACCUCAAGUAUAUAUAAACUUGAUUCUUCUGUGUUGCUUGGUGUGAUGUUUCUAAGAGACUGCAAGAAUACACAUAUCAGUUAAUACAAAUGAUAUGAGGUAAAUCAACCAGAAUUUACUAUGCAUAGUUAUAUAUCUAAUUUUUGAAAUCUGCGUAAAUUAGGUAUAUAUAACCAAAAUAAGUGAUUCGAGAUGGUAACUUCUACGGAUAUGCAUCAAAAUCAACUCAUAUCCACAAAUUGCGAAAACAAAGCCAAACUAAAAUAGAAAUAUAAAAAUGGUCGGAAGAGACGAAUUGGUUUGUUGCAUGAGAGAAGAUAAGUGUUAAGCCGUUUGAGAAGCAAAUAUUGAAAAAGUUCUGAAAAUAUCCAAAGUAACUGUAAACCUAUAUUAUAAUUCUAAAUUCAAAUAUUCUGUGGAAACUCCCUUAGUCCAGUGGUUUGAGUAAGAGUUCAUUAAUAUGUUUUCUACACCAAGAGGUCUGGGUUUCGAAUCUCAGCAAAAGCAAACUAUGUAAAUUUAUGGAGAAAAACAUACAGAAGGGUGCAAAGAGUACCGUGCAGGUAUAAUACCGGCUGUAGAAUCCUCUUUUGUAAUAUUUUUUAUAGUUUGUAAUAGCAUAAUUAACCAUAAAAAAUAUAUAUAUAUAUAUUUGAACCGUUACAAAGGUGUUGAAAAAUCAAACAUUGAAAAUAACUUUAAAAGAUUUAUUUGACCCAUUAAUCUUUAUGAACUAUAGGGCAUCUGCAUUGGAGAGUAUCUCCACAAAUUUUUCAUUAUUAAAAUAAUAAAACAAAACAAAAAAGUAAGUAAAAAGAAGAGAGAAAGUGUCAAUAGAUUUUUCCUAAAGGUACCAAUGGUGAGAGGCCUUUAAUAAAUUUUUCACAUUUAUCACUGCCUAACAUUUUUUUUUAUUAAAAAAUAUUUUGAGAGACCUAUUAUAUUAUUUUGCUAUUAAUGUUGGCUAAAAACGUCUCUAAUGGAGGGUUCUAACCAAAAAAUUCUUAAAAUACAUAUAUAUAUAUAUAUAUAUAUAUAUUAUUUAAUUACGGAUCUCUAAAAAUUACGAAAAACUUAAUUGAAAGUUUCUAACUUAUUUUUAAAAAAAAUUGGUUGGAACUCUCCAUUGGGAUCUAUGCUCGUUUCUUCCUCCUAUAUAAUUAUUUACUCGAAACAAUGUUUGUUUCAUAAAAGUAAAGAAACGUAGAAAUUGUACUAAUAUAGUGGAGUAUGGCUGCAUGCAUGAGAAAUUGAAGAAAUACAAACUUAUUAUUUAUGGUCUUUUUAUUAAUAGAAACUUGCACAUGAAAGAAAUCAGAAAGAAACAAGACGUAAAACUUACACACAUUUAUAUGACUACAGACUGCGUGCAUGGACCAUUAGUUGAUCAACACACACAUGUUUCAAAUUUAUUGCAAACGAAAAGUAAAAAUACGUUGAAGAUGCUGAGAAAGCUUUAUGUUUGGAUUCUCUCUCUCACGCUAUGUUUCUCUUAUUAUGUUUCCGUGUUGACUUUGUCUUCUUGUGCACAUCGUGUUCUCCUACAAAAGUGUAUACUAUACGAUAUAAAUAUUCUCAUGCAUGCAUCCAUAUAGGCUUUUUACAAGUUAACUUAAUGAGGUGUGUAGAUGUAAGUAUUGGGAAAGUUAUUACCGUGACAGAGAAUUCUAAUAGUGGUAUGGAGGAGGAGGAGGAGAUUUGUAGAGGUAAGGAUGGUGUGGAGGAGAGUAGUGGUGGACUGGAGGAGGAGGAGGUGAUUUAUAUACGUACUUUUCCUUUGGUGGCGGUGGGGAAUGGUAAACUGGAGGAGGAGAAUAGUGCUUAACCGGAGGAGGAGGGGAUUUGUAUACGUAGUGCUUCUUUGGUGGGGGUGGGGAAUGGUAAACCGGAGGGGGAGAGUAGUGCUUCACCGGAGGAGGAGGGGAUUUGUACACGUAGUGUUUCUUUGGUGGUGGUGGAGAGUGGUAAACCGGAGGAGGGGAGUAGUGCAUAACCGGAGGAGGAGGAGAUUUGUACACGUAGUGUUUCUUUGGUGGUGGUGGAGAGUGGUAAACCGGAGGAGGGGAGUAGUGCAUAACCGGAGGAGGAGGAGAUUUGUACACGUAGUGUUUCUUUGGUGGUGGUGGAGAGUGGUAAACCGGAGGAGGGGAGUAGUGCAUAACCGGAGGAGGAGGAGAUUUGUACACGUAGUGUUUCUUUGGUGGUGGUGGAGAGUGGUAAACCGGAGGAGGAGAAUAGUGCAUCACUGGAGGAGGAGGAGAUUUGUAGACGUAAUGUUUUUUAGGUGGGGGUGGGGAAUGGUAAACAGGAGGGGGUGUGUAGUGUUUAACCGGAGGAGGAGGAGAUUUGUAUACGUAAUGUUUCUUGGGUGGUGGUGGUGAGUGGUAGACUGGUGGGGGAGAGUAGUGCUUAACCGGUGGGGGUGGAGAUUUGUAGACGUAGUCCUUCUUAGGAGGUGGUGGAGAGUGGUAAACCGGAGGAGGAGAAUAGUGUUUAACCGGAGGAGGAGGGGACUUGUACACGUAGUGUUUCUUUGGUGGUGGUGGAGAAUGGUAAACGGGAGGAGGAGAGUAGUGCUUAACCGGGGGUGGAGGGGAUUUGUACACGUAGUGCUUCUUUGGGGGUGGUGGAGAGUGGUAAACCGGUGGUGGAGAGUAGUGUUUAACUGGAGGAGGUGGAGAUUUAUAUUCGUAGUGUUUCUUAGGUGGUGGUGGAGAAUGAUAAACCGGAGGGGGAGGGUAGUGCUUAACCGGAGGAGGUGGUGAUUUGUAUUCGUAGUGCUUAACAGGUGGUGGAGGAGAAGAAUAGAAGUAGUUAGCGGUUGAUUGAGAUACAAAGGUGAGAGAGACUGUUAAAACAAGCAAAGUUGCUGCUAAGGAGGCCAUUGGAGACCCCAUUGAUUGUUUUGUUG